CAACACUGAGCUUUUAGACGAGGGAAUAAAGUUAGCCAGCAUCAAGGACGAACGAUAGAGAGUCCUUUGCGACGUUAAAAAGUGUGCUAACACAGAGUUGUCUGAAUGUUGAGUGUUGAAUAUCUGAUUAGUGGCGGACGGGUGAGUAACGCGUGGGGAACCUGCCCUAUACAGGGGGAUAGCCUCGGGAAACCGGGAUUAAUACCCCAUAAAACUCUAGUAUCGCAUGAUACGUGAGUCAAAGCUGAGGCGGUAUAGGAUGGCCCCGCGUCUGAUUAGCUAGUUGGUGAGGUAACGGCUCACCAAGGCGACGAUCAGUAGCCGGCCUGAGAGGGUGGACGGCCACACUGGAACUGAGACACGGUCCAGACUCCUACGGGAGGCAGCAGUGGGGAAUAUUGCACAAUGGGGGAAACCCUGAUGCAGCGACGCCGCGUGAGCGAAGAAGGCCUUCGGGUCGUAAAGCUCUGUCCUAAGGGAAGAAAAGGACGGUACCUUAGGAGGAAGCCCCGGCUAACUACGUG
rnacentral:rRNA from 1 species